rnacentral:rRNA from 1 species
AACGAACGCUAGCGGCAUGCCUCAAACAUGCAAGUCGGACGCGAAUGGAGCUUCGGCUCUUAGUAGAGUGGCGCACGGGUGAGUAACACGUAGCUAACAUACCCUAUCGCUGGGGAUAACUCCGGGAAACCGGAGCUAAUACCGAAUGAGCUGCGAGAGUCUGCGGACUUUUUCAGCAAAGCCUUACGGCGCGAUAGGAUUGGGCUGCGGUCGAUUAGCUAGUUGGUGGGGUAACGGCCUACCAAGGCGACGAUCGAUAGCUGGUCUGAGAGGAUGAUCAGCCACACUGGAACUGAAACACGGUCCAGACUCCCACGGGAGGCAGCAGUUGGGAAUAUUGCACAAUGGAGGAAACUCUGAUGCAGCAAUGCCGCGUGAGGGAUG